rnacentral:rRNA from 1 species
GACGAACGCUGGCGGCGUGCCUAAUACAUGCAAGUUGAGCGCUGAAGGUUGGUACUUGUACCAACUGGAUGAGCAGCGAACGGGUGAGUAACGCGUGGGGAAUCUGCCUUUGAGCGGGGGACAACAUUUGGAAACGAAUGCUAAUACCGCAUAAAAACUUUAAACACAAGUUUUAAGUUUGAAAGAUGCAAUUGCAUCACUCAAAGAUGAUCCCGCGUUGUAUUAGCUAGUUGGUGAGGUAAAGGCUCACCAAGGCGAUGAUACAUAGCCGACCUGAGAGGGUGAUCGGCCACAUUGGGACUGAGACACGGCCCAAACUCCUACGGGAGGCAGCAGUAGGGAAUCUUCGGCAAUGGACGAAAGUCUGACCGAGCAACGCCGCGUGAGUGAAGAAGGGUUUCGGAUCGUAAAACUCUGUUGGUAGAGAAGAACGUUGGUGAGAGUGGAAAGCCCAUCAAGUGACGGUAACUACCCAGAAAGGGACGGCUAACUACGUG